rnacentral:rRNA from 1 species
AUGGAUGAGGUCACAAGGGGUAUACAAGGAGAUAUCCCAUGGUGUAUGCUCUUUGCGGAUGAUGUGGUGCUAGUUGAUGAUAGUCGGACGGGGGUAAAUAGGAAGUUAGAGUUACGGAGACAAACCUUGGAAUCGAAAGGGUUUAGGCUUAGUAGAACUAAAACCGAGUACAUGAUGUGCGGUUUCAGUACUACUAGCUGUGAGGAGGAGGAGGUUAGCCUUGAUGGCCAGGUGGUACCUCGGAAGGACACCUUUCGGUAUUUGGGGUCAAUGUUGCAGGAGGAUGGGGGUAUUGAUGAAGAUGUGAACCAUCGAAUCAAAGCCGGAUGGAUGAAGUGGCGCCAAGCUUCUGGCAUUCUCUGUGACAAGAGAGUGCCACAAAAGCGAAAAGGCAAGUUCUACAGGACGGCGGUUCGACCCGCAAUGUUGUAUGGCGUGGAGUGUUGGCCGACUAAAAGGCGACAUGUUCAACAGUUAGGUGUGGCGGAGAUGCGUAUGUUGAGAUGGAUGUGUGGCCACACGAGGAAGGAUCGAGUCCGGAAUGAUGAUAUACGAGAUAGAGUUGGGGUAGUACCAAUUGAGGAUAAGCUUGUCCAACAUCGUUUGAGAUGGUUUGGGCAUAUUCAGCGCAGGCCUCCAGAAGCUCCAGUGCAUAGCGGACGGCUAAAGCAUGCGGAGAAUGUCAAGAGAGGGCGGGGUCGACCGAUUUUGACAUGGGAGGAGUCCGUUAAGAGAGACCUUAAGGAUUGGAGUAUCGACAAAGAGCUAGCUAUGGACAGGGGUGCGUGGAAGCUUGCUAUCCAUGUGCCAGAGCCAUGA